rnacentral:rRNA from 1 species
GAUGAACGCUGGCGGCGUGCCCAAUACAUGCAAGUCGAGCGAACAGACGAGGAGCUUGCUCCUUUGACGUUAGCGGCGGUCGGGUGAGUAACACGUGGGUAACCUACCUAUAAGACUGGGAUAACUUCGGGAAACCGGAGCUAAUACCGGAUAAUAUUUCGAACCGCAUGGUUCGAUAGUGAAAGAUGGCUUUGCUAUCACUUAUAGAUGGACCUGCGCCGUAUUAGCUAGUUGGUAAGGUAACGGCUUACCAAGGCAACGAUACGUAGCCGACCUGAGAGGGUGAUCGGCCACACUGGAACUGAGACACGGUCCAGACUCCUACGGGAGGCAGCAGUAGGGAAUCUUCCGCAAUGGGCGAAAGCCUGACGGAGCAACGCCGCGUGAGUGAUGAAGGUCUUCGGAUCGUAAAACUCUGUUAUUAGGGAAGAACAAACGUGUAAGUAACUGUGCACGUCUUGACGGUACCUAAUCAGAAAGCCACGGCUAACUACGUG